UACGUAGGGGGCAAGCGUUGUCCGGAAUCAUUGGGCGUAAAGCGCGUGUAGGCGGCCUUGUAAGUCCGUUCUGAAAGCCCGGGGCUCAACCCCGGGAGGCGGAUGGAUACUGCAAGGCUCGAGUACGGAAGAGGCGAGUGGAAUUCCCGGUGUAGCGGUGAAAUGCGUAGAGAUCGGGAGGAACACCUGUAGCGAAGGCGGCCCCCUGGGCCGGGCCUGACACUGAGACGCGAAGGCGUGGGGAGCGAACGGG
rnacentral:rRNA from 1 species